UACGUAUGGUGCAAGCGUUAUCCGGAUUUACUGGGUGUAAAGGGAGCGUAGACGGUAAUGUAAGUCUGGAGUGAAAGGCGGGGGCCCAACCCCCGGACUGCUCUGGAAACUAUGUUACUAGAGUGCAGGAGAGGUAAGCGGAAUUCCUAGUGUAGCGGUGAAAUGCGUAGAUAUUAGGAGGAACACCAGUGGCGAAGGCGGCUUACUGGACUGUAACUGACGUUGAGGCUCGAAAGCGUGGGGAGCAAACAGG
rnacentral:rRNA from 1 species